GUGCUCGCUUCGGAAUCACAUAUACUAAAAAUUGGAACGAUACAGAGAAGAUUAGCAUGGCCCCUCGAGCAAGGAUGACACGAAAAUUUGUGAAGUGUAAACUCACAUC